rnacentral:lncRNA from 1 species
CACAAUUCCCCAAAAAUCACAAACAAAUUCUCCAAAUUCUCCAAAUUCUCAAAAACCUCAUAGAACUUCAAUUGAUCAAAACUCUCUCAAUUCUUGAUCAAUUUGUGAAAUUCUUCUUGCUGCAACACAAACAAAUUCUCCAAAUUCUCCAAAUUCUCAAAAACCUCAUAGAACUUCAAUUGAUCAAAACUCUCUCAAUUCUUGAUCAAUUUGUGAAAUUCUUCUUGCUGCAACUUCCACUCAUCAUCAUCUGCGACUGUUUUU